rnacentral:rRNA from 1 species
AGAGUUUGAUCCUGGCUCAGAGUGAACGCUGGCGGCGUGCCUAACACAUGCAAGUCGAACGAGAACGGACUUAAGUUUACUUAAGUUGUCAGCUAAGUGGCGCACGGGUGAGUAAUAUAUAGUUAACCUGCCUCAAAGAAGAGAAUAAUUGUUGGAAACGACUUGUAAUGCUCUAUAUGCCUUUAUCACAUAAGUGAGCAAGGGAAAUAUUUAUAGCUUUGAGAUGGGACUGUACGGUAUCAGAUAGUUGGUGAGGUAAUGGCUCACCAAGUCUAUGACGCCUAACUGGUUUGAGAGGAUGAUCAGUCACACUGGAACUGAGACACGGUCCAGACUCCUACGGGAGGCAGCAGUGGGGAAUAUUGCACAAUGGAGGAAACUCUGAUGCAGCAACGCCGCGUGGAGGAUGACACAUUUCGGUGCGUAAACUCCUUUUAUUAGGGAAGAUAAUGACGGUACCUAAUGAAUAAGCACCGGCUAACUCCGUGCCAGCAGCCGCGGUAAUACGGGGGGUGCAAGCGUUACUCGGAAUCACUGGGCGUAAAGAGCAUGUAGGCUGAUUAGUAAGUUGGAAGUGAAAUCCUAUGGCUCAACCAUAGAACUGCUUCCAAAACUGCUUAUCUAGAGUAUGGGAGAGGUAGAUGGAAUUUCUGGUGUAGGGGUAAAAUCCGUAGAGAUCAGAAGGAAUACCGAUUGCGAAGGCGAUCUACUGGAACAUUACUGACGCUGAGAUGCGAAAGCGUGGGGAGCAAACAGGAUUAGAUACCCUGGUAGUCCACGCCCUAAACGAUGCACACUAGUUGUUGCUAUGCUAGACAUAGCAGUAAUGCAGUUAACACAGUAAGUGUGCCGCCUGAGAGUACGGUCGCAAGAUUAAAACUCAAAGGAAUAGACGGGGACUCGCACAAGCGGUGGAGCAUGUGGUUUAAUUCGACGAUACGCGAAGAACCUUA